AUUGAACGCUGGCGGCAGGCCUAACACAUGCAAGUCGAGCGGAGCGGCGGACGGGUGAGUAAUGCCUAGGAAUCUGCCUGGUGGUGGGGGAUAACGUCCGGAAACGGGCGCUCAUACCGCAUACUAUCAGAUGAGCCUAGGGCGGAUUCACUGGUUGGUGGGUGAAAGGAAUACCAAGGCGACGAUCCGUAACUGGUCUGAGAGGAUGAUCAGUCAAACGGGAACUGAGACCCGGUCCAGACUCCUACGGGAGGCAGCAGUGGGGAAUAUUGGACAAUGGGCGAAAGCCGGAUCCAGCCAUGCCGCGUGGUUGAAGAAGGUCGUCGGAUUGUAAAGCACUUUAAGUUGGGAGGCGUUACCAACAGAAUAAGCACCGGCUAACUACGUGCCAGCAGCCGCGGUAAUAC
rnacentral:rRNA from 1 species